UGGGGAAUAUUGGACAAUGGGCGCAAGCCUGAUCCAGCAAUGCCGCGUGUGUGAAGAAGGCCUUCGGGUUGUAAAGCACUUUUAUCAGGAGCGAAACGCUGUCGGCUAAUACCCGGCGGAACUGACGGUACCUGAGGAAUAAGCACCGGCUAACUUCGUGCCAGCAGCCGCGGUAAUACGAAGGGUGCAAGCGUUAAUCGGAAUUACUGGGCGUAAAGCGUGCGUAGGCGGUUUCUUAAGUCUGCUGUGAAAUCCCCGGGCUCAACCUGGGAAUGGCAGUGGAUACUGGGAGGCUAGAGUGUGUCAGAGGGUGGUGGAAUUCCCGGUGUAGCGGUGAAAUGCGUAGAGAUCGGGAGGAACAUCGGUGGCGAAGGCGGCCACCUGGGACAACACUGACGCUGAGGCACGAAAGCGUGGGGAGCAAACAGGAUUAGAUACCCUGGUAGUCCACGCCCUAAACGAUGCGAACUGGAUGUUGGUCUCAACUCGGAGAUCAGUGUCGAAGCUAACGCGUUAAGUUCGCCGCCUGGGGAGUACGGUCGCAAGACUGAAACUUAAAUGAAUUGAC
rnacentral:rRNA from 1 species